GACGAACGCUGGCGGCGUGCUUAACACAUGCAAGUCGAACGGAAAGGCCCUGCUUUUGUGGGGUGCUCGAGUGGCGAACGGGUGAGUAACACGUGAGUAACCUGCCCUUGACUUUGGGAUAACUUCAGGAAACUGGGGCUAAUACCGGAUAGGAGCUCCUGCGGCAUGGUGGGGGUUGGAAAGUUUCGGCGGUUGGGGAUGGACUCGCGGCUUAUCAGCUUGUUGGUGGGGUAGUGGCUUACCAAGGCUUUGACGGGUGGCCGGCCUGAGAGGGUGACCGGCCACAUUGGGACUGAGAUACGGCCCAGACUCCUACGGGAGGCAGCAGUGGGGAAUAUUGCACAAUGGGCGGAAGUCUGAUGCAGCAACGCCGCGUGCGGGAUGACGGCCUUCGGGUUGUAAACCGCUUUCGCCUGUGACGAAGCGUGAGUGACGGUAAUGGGUAAAGAAGCACCGGCUAACUACGUG
rnacentral:rRNA from 1 species